AUGGCAGUUGAAAAUUUCAUGAUGCAUGGACCAUGUGGCCAGACAUGCUACAAGUCACCAUGCAUGAUUAAUGGGAAGUGCUCAAAACAUUUCCCUAAGAUGUUCUGUGAGGAAACAAGCAUCGAUGAAGAAGGAUUCCCAAUAUACAGAAGAAGAAAUAAUGGCAGGACAGUAGAAAAAAAUGGAGUACAACUAGAUAGCAGGUAUGUUGUUCCAUACAACAGGGACCUGAUAGUCAAGUACUAG
rnacentral:rRNA from 1 species